GGGUUGUGAGGUUAAGCGACUAAGCGUACACGGUGGAUGCCCUGGCAGUCAGAGGCGAUGAAGGACGUGCUAAUCUGCGAUAAGCGUCGGUAAGGUGAUAUGAACCGUUAUAACCGGCGAUUUCCGAAUGGGGAAACCCAGUGUGUUUCGACACACUAUCAUUAACUGAAUCCAUAGGUUAAUGAGGCGAACCGGGGGAACUGAAACAUCUAAGUACCCCGAGGAAAAGAAAUCAACCGAGAUUCCCCCAGUAGCGGCGAGCGAACGGGGAGCAGCCCAGAGCCUGAAUCAGUGUGUGUGUUAGUGGAAGCGUCUGGAAAGGCGCGCGAUACAGGGUGACAGCCCCGUACACAAAAAUGCACAUGCUGUGAGCUCGAUGAGUAGGGCGGGACACGUGGUAUCCUGUCUGAAUAUGGGGGGACCAUCCUCCAAGGCUAAAUACUCCUGACUGACCGAUAGUGAACCAGUACCGUGAGGGAAAGGCGAAAAGAACCCCGGCGAGGGGAGUGAAAAAGAACCUGAAACCGUGUACGUACAAGCAGUGGGAGCACGCUUAGGCGUGUGACUGCGUACCUUUUGUAUAAUGGGUCAGCGACUUAUAUUCUGUAGCAAGGUUAACCGAAUAGGGGAGCCGAAGGGAAACCGAGUCUUAACUGGGCGUUAAGUUGCAGGGUAUAGACCCGAAACCCGGUGAUCUAGCCAUGGGCAGGUUGAAGGUUGGGUAACACUAACUGGAGGACCGAACCGACUAAUGUUGAAAAAUUAGCGGAUGACUUGUGGCUGGGGGUGAAAGGCCAAUCAAACCGGGAGAUAGCUGGUUCUCCCCGAAAGCUAUUUAGGUAGCGCCUCGUGAAUUCAUCUCCGGGGGUAGAGCACUGUUUCGGCAAGGGGGUCAUCCCGACUUACCAACCCGAUGCAAACUGCGAAUACCGGAGAAUGUUAUCACGGGAGACACACGGCGGGUGCUAACGUCCGUCGUGAAGAGGGAAACAACCCAGACCGCCAGCUAAGGUCCCAAAGUCAUGGUUAAGUGGGAAACGAUGUGGGAAGGCCCAGACAGCCAGGAUGUUGGCUUAGAAGCAGCCAUCAUUUAAAGAAAGCGUAAUAGCUCACUGGUCGAGUCGGCCUGCGCGGAAGAUGUAACGGGGCUAAACCAUGCACCGAAGCUGCGGCAGCGACACUAUGUGUUGUUGGGUAGGGGAGCGUUCUGUAAGCCUGUGAAGGUGUGCUGUGAGGCAUGCUGGAGGUAUCAGAAGUGCGAAUGCUGACAUAAGUAACGAUAAAGCGGGUGAAAAGCCCGCUCGCCGGAAGACCAAGGGUUCCUGUCCAACGUUAAUCGGGGCAGGGUGAGUCGACCCCUAAGGCGAGGCCGAAAGGCGUAGUCGAUGGGAAACAGGUUAAUAUUCCUGUACUUGGUGUUACUGCGAAGGGGGGACGGAGAAGGCUAUGUUGGCCGGGCGACGGUUGUCCCGGUUUAAGCGUGUAGGCUGGUUUUCCAGGCAAAUCCGGAAAAUCAAGGCUGAGGCGUGAUGACGAGGCACUACGGUGCUGAAGCAACAAAUGCCCUGCUUCCAGGAAAAGCCUCUAAGCAUCAGGUAACAUCAAAUCGUACCCCAAACCGACACAGGUGGUCAGGUAGAGAAUACCAAGGCGCUUGAGAGAACUCGGGUGAAGGAACUAGGCAAAAUGGUGCCGUAACUUCGGGAGAAGGCACGCUGAUAUGUAGGUGAAGUCCCUCGCGGAUGGAGCUGAAAUCAGUCGAAGAUACCAGCUGGCUGCAACUGUUUAUUAAAAACACAGCACUGUGCAAACACGAAAGUGGACGUAUACGGUGUGACGCCUGCCCGGUGCCGGAAGGUUAAUUGAUGGGGUUAGCGCAAGCGAAGCUCUUGAUCGAAGCCCCGGUAAACGGCGGCCGUAACUAUAACGGUCCUAAGGUAGCGAAAUUCCUUGUCGGGUAAGUUCCGACCUGCACGAAUGGCGUAAUGAUGGCCAGGCUGUCUCCACCCGAGACUCAGUGAAAUUGAACUCGCUGUGAAGAUGCAGUGUACCCGCGGCAAGACGGAAAGACCCCGUGAACCUUUACUAUAGCUUGACACUGAACAUUGAGCCUUGAUGUGUAGGAUAGGUGGGAGGCUUUGAAGUGUGGACGCCAGUCUGCAUGGAGCCGACCUUGAAAUACCACCCUUUAAUGUUUGAUGUUCUAACGUUGACCCGUAAUCCGGGUUGCGGACAGUGUCUGGUGGGUAGUUUGACUGGGGCGGUCUCCUCCUAAAGAGUAACGGAGGAGCACGAAGGUUGGCUAAUCCUGGUCGGACAUCAGGAGGUUAGUGCAAUGGCAUAAGCCAGCUUGACUGCGAGCGUGACGGCGCGAGCAGGUGCGAAAGCAGGUCAUAGUGAUCCGGUGGUUCUGAAUGGAAGGGCCAUCGCUCAACGGAUAAAAGGUACUCCGGGGAUAACAGGCUGAUACCGCCCAAGAGUUCAUAUCGACGGCGGUGUUUGGCACCUCGAUGUCGGCUCAUCACAUCCUGGGGCUGAAGUAGGUCCCAAGGGUAUGGCUGUUCGCCAUUUAAAGUGGUACGCGAGCUGGGUUUAGAACGUCGUGAGACAGUUCGGUCCCUAUCUGCCGUGGGCGCUGGAGAACUGAGGGGGGCUGCUCCUAGUACGAGAGGACCGGAGUGGACGCAUCACUGGUGUUCGGGUUGUCAUGCCAAUGGCACUGCCCGGUAGCUAAAUGCGGAAGAGAUAAGUGCUGAAAGCAUCUAAGCACGAAACUUGCCCCGAGAUGAGUUCUCCCUGACUCCUUGAGAGUCCUGAAGGAACGUUGAAGACGACGACGUUGAUAGGCCGGGUGUGUAAGCGCAGCGAUGCGUUGAGCUAACCGGUACUAAUGAACCGUGAGGCUUAACCUUACAACGCCGAAGCUGUU
rnacentral:rRNA from 1 species